ACGGGAGGCAGCAGUGAGGAAUAUUGGUCAAUGGACGGAAGUCUGAACCAGCCAUGCCGCGUGAAGGAAUAAGGCCCUAUGGGUCGUAAACUUCUUUUGUGGUGGAGCAAUAAGGUGCACGUGUGCAUCGAUGAGAGUACAUCACGAAUAAGCAUCGGCUAACUCCGUGCCAGCAGCCGCGGUAAUACGGAGGAUGCGAGCGUUAUCCGGAUUUAUUGGGUUUAAAGGGUGCGUAGGCUGUUCUUCAAGUCAGAGGUGAAAUACCGGGGCUCAACCCUGGAACUGCCUUUGAUACUGGAGGGCUUGAAUACUGUUGCCGUGGGAGGAAUGAGUAGUGUAGCGGUGAAAUGCAUAGAUAUUACUCAGAACACCGAUUGCGAAGGCAUCUCACGAAGCAGCGAUUGACGCUGAGGCACGAAAGCGUGGGGAUCAAACAGGAUUAGAUACCCUGGUA
rnacentral:rRNA from 2 species